rnacentral:lncRNA from 1 species
AUGCAGGGUUGUCUAAGGAUUAGAGGUCAUGUUAGGACCUUGCUUGAUUCUACUUGCUCUGCCUGGCUGAAAUCCCUGCACCCCGAGGGGAGAGUGCUGAACUCCGUGAUGGCAGAUGGCAUGGCUGAGAUUGGGUGUCUGCUUUUCCUCCCAAGAAGCUACAGUGCAUAAUUAAUUCAUUGUUCACAUUUCAGAGCAAGCAGAGUUUUAAUCCCCUCUGAAAUUGGUUUCGGAUGUGGAAGUCAUAGUUCUCCACCCUCUAAUUGCAAAGGGGAGAUAAUACGGCAUCGGUAUUGAAAUUUCAAGCACGGCAUCGGGCUGGAAAUAAAUAUCAUUUAAGCUUU